CGGGAUGUAGCGCAGUUGGUAGCGUACCACGUUCGGGACGUGGGGGUCGCUGGUUCGAAUCCAGUCAUCCCGACCA
rnacentral:tRNA from 1 species